rnacentral:rRNA from 1 species
CGCCCCCACGCGCGACGCCACCAAAACCCGAGCAACCCACGCCAACCCAAUCGGUAGGGUUUUGGACCUCCCCCCGCCCGCCGCCGGCGCCGCCGAUCGCAUCAAGGAAGGAAGGAAGGGAGGGAGAGGCCCGCGGGCUCAGGCAGCAGGCAGGCAGGAGGAAUGGCGCAGUCACUGGAGCUCCUGCUAAUCCAGUUCCUGAUGCCGGACAACGACGCGCGGCGGCAGGCGGAGGAGCAGAUCCGGCGGCUGGCGCGGGACCCGCAGGUCGUGCCGGCGCUCGUCCACCACCUCCGCACCGCCAAGACCCCCAACGUCCGCCAGCUCGCCGCCGUGCUCCUCCGCAAGAAGAUCACCUCCCACUGGCCCAAGCUUCCACCGCACGCCAAGGCUUCCCUAAAGCAGGCCCUCAUCGACUCCAUCACCCUCGACAACAGUCAUCUUGUAAGGAGAGGUAGUGCAAAUGUCGUGAGCAUUAUUGCUAAGUAUGCUGUCCCUGCAGGAGAGUGGCAAGAGCUGUUACCGUUCCUUUUCCAAUGCAGCCAAAGUCCACAAGAAGAACAUAGGGAAGUAGCUUUAAUUCUGUUCAGCUCCCUUACUGAAACUAUUGGGACUACGUUUCAAUCUCAUCUGAAUAAUUUGCAACCUAUUUUACUGAAAUGCCUGCAAGAUGAGACCAGCUCCCGAGUCAGAAUCGCCGCCCUAAAGGCUGUUGGAUCCUUCAUAGAGUAUGUCAAUGAAGGAGGAGACAUUGUAAAGAUGUUUCGAGACUUUGUUCCCAGUAUCUUGAAUGUAUCAAGGCAAUGUCUUGCUAAUGGCGAUGACGAUGUUGCUUCCAUUGCCUUUGAAAUAUUCGACGAACUAAUUGAAUCUCCUGCACCACUUCUUGGAGAUUCAGUGAGAUCAAUUGUGCAGUUCUCGCUUGAAGUUUGCUCAAACCAAGAUAUGGAAAUAAAUAUAAGGCAACAGGCUAUUCAGAUAAUCUCAUGGCUUGUAAAAUUUAAAGCAUCUUUCUUAAAAAAGAACAAGCUGAUUGUACCUAUUCUACAAGUUAUGUGCCCCUUGCUUACAGAAACAGCUAAUGAAGAUGAAGACUCUGAUUUAGCGGCAGAUCGCUCUGCAGCCGAAGUCAUUGAUACAAUGGCUAUCAACUUACCAAGACACGUUUUUGGACCAGUUCUUGAAUUUGCUUCUGUGAACUUUCGUCACGUUAAUCCCAAGUAUCGUGAGGCUGCUGUUACUUCGCUGGGUGUUGUCUCAGAAGGUUGUUCUGAACAUUUUAAGGAUAAGUUGGAAGAAUGUCUCAAAGUUGUUUUAGAAGCUUUAAAGGAUCAAGAGCAGAUGGUUAGAGGUGCUGCAUCAUUUGCUCUUGGUCAGUUUGCCGAACACUUGCAGCCAGAAAUUUUAUCUCACUAUGAGAGUGUACUUCCAUGCAUCUUAAAUGCACUUGAAGAUCCAUCAGAUGAAGUUAAGGAGAAAUCUUAUUAUGCACUGGCGGCGUUCUGUGAAGAUAUGGGUGAAGAUAUCCUACCAUAUCUGGAACCUUUGAUAUGCAGAUUAGUUAUAUCUUUGCAGAGCAGUCCUCGGAACCUGCAAGAGACAUGCAUGUCUGCAAUUGGCUCUGUAGCAGCUGCUGCAGAACAGGCAUUUAUCCCAUAUGCAGAGAAGGUUCUUGAAAUGAUGAAAGGCUUUAUGGUGCUCACUAAGGACGAAGAUUUGUGCGCACGAGCUAGGGCUACUGAGGUUGUUGGGAUAGUUGCAAUGGCAGUUGGCAGAACCAGAAUGGAAGCCAUAUUACCUCCUUUUAUUGAGGCUGCUAUUUGUGGUUUUGGAUUGGAUUAUAGCGAGCUAAGGGAGUACACUCAUGGUUUUUUUAGCAACGUUGCUGAGAUUCUGGAUGAUAGUUUCUCACAGUAUCUCCCUCAUGUUGUGCCUCUUGCAUUUUCCUCGUGCAACUUGGAUGAUGGUUCUGCUGUGGACAUUGAUGAUGCUGAUGGUGUUGACAAUGGAUUUAGUGGUGUUUCCUCUGAUGAUGAUGAUGAUGAUGAGCCAAGAGUUAGAAAUAUCAGCGUGAGGACUGGAGUGUUAGAUGAGAAAGCUGCUGCAACUCAGGCUAUUGGAUUUUUUGCACUUCACACAAAGAGUGCCUAUGCCCCGUACUUGGAGGAGUCGUUGAAAAUUUUAAUCAAGCACAGUGGGUAUUUUCAUGAAGAUGUCAGGCUUCAGGCUAUUAUUUCCUUAAAACACAUCCUAACUGCGUUAAGGGCAAUACCUGCACAUCCUGAUAUACUAGAGAAACAGAAGGAUGUUCUUGAUACUAUUAUGAACAUCUAUAUCAAGACCAUGACAGAGGAUGAUGAUAAAGAAGUAGUCGCUCAAGCUUGCAUGAGUGUAGCUGAUAUCAUGAAAGAUUGUGGUUUUGCUGCUGUUGAACUUUAUAUGCCACGGCUUGCUGAGGCAACACUUGCUCUGUUGCGUCAAGAAUCAUGUUGUCAGCAAGUAGAGUCGGAUGGUGAAGAUGAUGGUGACAUAGAUCAUGAUGAAGUCCUCAUGGACGCAGUUUCAGAUCUUUUGCCUGCUUUUGCAAAAGUGAUGCGAUCUUACUUUGAUCCUAUCUUUGCGAAGUUAUUUGACCCCCUAAUGAAAUUUGCUAAAUCUCCACAUCCUCCCCAAGACAAGACUAUGGUUGUUGCCACUCUAGCUGAGGUCGCUCAAGAAAUGGGUGCUCCAAUUUCUGCUUAUGUUGAUAAGAUAAUGCCUUUGGCGUUGAAAGAACUUGCAUCUUCUGAGGCUACGAAUAGGAGAAAUGCUGCUUUCUGUGUUGGCGAGCUAUGCAAGAACAGCGGUGCUGCAGCACUGAAAUAUUAUCCGGAUAUACUGCAGGGUCUGCACCGUUUGUUUGCUAAUUCCGAACAAGACCUUGCAGUUAGAGAUAAUGCGGCCGGUGCUAUUGCUAGAAUGAUAAUGGUGCAACCUCAGUCGAUUCCUCUCAACCAGGUUCUUCCAGUGUUUAUCAAAGCUUUGCCACUAAAAGAAGAUCACGAAGAAUCAAUGGCUGUCUAUAGCUGCUUAUGUAAUUUGUUGCUAUCAUCACAUCCCCAGAUCCUCACUCUAGUGCCUGAUGUGAUACAUGUCUUUGCCCAAGUGGUAGUCUCCCCAGAUGAGAGUGAUGAAGUCAAAACAACUAUUGGCAAGGCUGUUUCUCAUUUAAUAUCCGUUUAUGGUCAGCAGAUGCAGCCAAUACUAAGUGCUCUACCACCUGCUCAUGCGAAUGCAUUGGCAGCAUUUGCCAGUAGAAGAUGAUCUUCAGGGGAACUAUUACCUUCGAUUUUUGUGUGUCGCCCGAGUGUUUUCUCAAGAUUGCCCUUUGAUGAAAGGUUUUUCGGUGACAUUGCAUUGGAAUGGUGUUUACUGCGGUUGAAGGUGCAGUACUUUGGCUGGCGGCUGCUUCGGUGAGUCCCGUGUGUAUUCAGGUUCCUUUUUUGGCAACUUGUUAUUUGUUUCAGUUUUGCAAUUCUUUUCUGGGAUGUGCAAAUCGUUGAUGUACUGUUGUAUAUAUAAACAUCUUGUCCUACAAUUUUUUGUGUAACUUUGAUUUGUGGUACCUACCAUAUCUUGUUGUGGGCUAUUCGUGGAACUUUUAUUUGCUCUCAUCCAUAUAUUAAGCCUCCAGGUGAUUG